rnacentral:lncRNA from 1 species
GGGUUUGAUCUCAUUUGACCCUCUGUAAACCUAAUUGCUAGGUAAACGAACGCGUUGGCGGAGACGGUUCGGCGAUUCGUCGAGCCGUUGCGAAGUUAUUAAAGAAAUGGAUGUUUAGGCUUCGUUUUCGCCUGGAGGGCCGAGGCGAUAUCGUAAAUUCAUGAAAAUGGAUUUGAGGCACUCGUGGCACAUAACCGACAGACCUUUUAAUUCUCCGGAUCGUGAAUUGGAGGCGUAUCGGCCGUGGUCGCGCGAGGAUGCGCGCCAAAACGGUGCCGGAUGCCGCGGAGGCCGAUUGCAAGUGUCGGACUAAGCAACUCGACCCAACGACCACAUUUGAAGGUCGGUUGUGUCUCCCCUAACCCCGCAGCGGACUUGGUCGCCACCGAUGUCAAAAGCGAAGUGUGGACAUCUUGUUGAUGGCAUAUGCUGCUUGUGCAUACGGCAUAAUUAGUCGCUACUCCCAAAUGCACUCUAGUUGGUAAUAUUUUGCAUGUUGUAUGCUAUGCCUCCAGUGAAAAUACCUGCCUAGGCGGCAUUACGCAUUAUCGAGAUUCAUGCUUAGACAUGUAUUAGAAGAAGCAAUAAAUGAAAUGCUUAACCAUGUUGUUUAAUUAUAUGAGUUAAUGAGAAUUACUGAAAAUGCGCGACACAUGUUAGACUGACAAUCAAGCAUAUUCGACAAUUAUGAAAAUGCAUAAUUACAGGAUAAUUGACUAAUAAAUGCUUGAAAAGUACAUGCUAGUUGUAAUAUAUGUUGGCAUUGAGAUGAUGCAUAUAGUUAACACUAAAAAGAAUGCAUGUAGAUGAACAUGAUGUAAUAAGCUAGACGAAUGCUUGCGUAUGGUUGCCUAUACUACAUAAUUAUCGUAGAAUGCAUGUUGGAAUAUGCUAUGUAAAGCUAGAUGAUUUCAUGAAUUGGAUCGGAUAACAUCUAGCUAAUAAGACCCUUGAACAUUGAACAUUAUAUAACUUACGACGAUCGACCGUGGCGAGCCCCAGAUUUACCCCUAGAGCUCAGCGAACACUACCGGUUGAACAACACCAAACCAAAAAAAAAAAAAAAAACUUUGCUCCUUAUAUUAUUACAAACUAAAACCCGUGUCCAAAGAACUUAGGUUGGAAUCAUGUGUGGCAUUAAAACCUAUCGUUAAAGGAACAUAGUCGAUUGGACAAUAGUAAAUAAGGGGUGACAAUGAAAUUAGACAUGAUUGGCAUAAGUAAGUGGUUUGUUAAACAUAGUGUUUAACCAUAUUGACAUUGUCCAAGUUGACAUAAGGAGUGGCAUGAUUAAUUGUUAGAAAACCUAUUGUAGAAAUGGUAUUAGUGAGAUGCUAUGAUCCUCAAGUUGAAGGAUUGGAUUCGAUACUGCACUUACGUCUUGGUUGAGGAGGUAGCUCCCCCUCCGGCUGUGCGCUCUGGAGCUGGUCGCCAUGGGCGUGGUAAAAGUCCCCCCAAAUGACGGUCCCCAGGGAGGUUCGAGUCUCCCGUUAUUAAGGGAUUUUGGUAGUGAGUUAUUGGGGUUACACAUGUUAAGCCGGCCUAGACAUUGGUCGUAAGCCGAAUGAAGUUAACAUAGUAUGGCAGUUAUCGAGCUUAUGGAUAUUGGUAUCCACGCUCUGAGAGGCAUCUAGGGCUGACGGGUAUGUGAGACGUCAUCCGCCUCGAGCCUGGUUUACUCUCACUCCCGCAAACGAUUGACUCAAGACCGAUCGGGUGCCUCCUCUCGCACAGGUACUGCUCUUCACCUGCUCGGCUCUCUGCGGCUCUUAUGAUAACGCACUCUCUCCCGCUCGCGCUCUCAUCGGCUUCGCGCUGAAGCUCGCUCGACUCGCAGCUCUCGCAUACGUCUUCUGCUCUCGCUCUCUCUUCGCUCUGCAUUCGCUCUCCGCGCGCUGCAUGGCUCUCUCUCUUCGCUCUCUAAUACCCAAGAUACUAAUGUCUAUCUGUUUCAUUGACAUACACUCGCUUCGCUCUCUUGACUCGCUCUCGCGCUCGCUCUCUCUCUCGGCUCGCGUCGUACCUCGCGCGCUCGCUCGCGUUUCACCCCACGUGGUCUCUGGGAAUUUGUUACAGGAUUUCGCCCGUGAGCGGCGUGGAGCUGCGAGGCGAGGGCGUCAGCUCAUAGCUUAGCACCUCCGAGAGACGCUCGCGCUACCGCUCGACAUAGCUUAGGGGUUAAAGAAAUGAAAAGAACACAAUGUAACAUGAUGUAUUAAAGAUACAAAUAUUGUAAUAAUUUAGAUUGCAUUUGGAUGAAAAAGGAAUGGUAGUUGAGGUGUAAAAUGCAUGAAUAUGAAUGAAUGUAAUAAUAUAGGAUGUGUUAUGUUGUUUGAUACCUUCCAUUAUGCAAUCUUGAUUGAAAUGUGUUCCUGGUUGGAACUUCGCACAUUGUAUUGAUUGCUAUGCCUUGAACGUACAGGGGAGACUUUGUCCGCAGUACAGGGGAAACCCUGUCCGUUCGGCGAUCUGUUGCGGCGCCGCGACCCGGCCAAAUAGGCGGGCGGUCGCGGGGCGUGACAGUAGGUCCUAAGUAGAUCAACCAAGUCUGUAUGCCAUCCGGCACACUCAACCCUUGUACUUUUCCUCAAGCUUAAUUUCUAAGGCUUUCGGCUCUUCAAGCCGACCAACUGGUGUGUGUUUCUUCUAUUCGGUUCAUCUACCGAGUCAAAUUUGUAGCUGGUCCGUACAUUCGGCUCAUUCCAGCCGAACCGAAUUUUUAAUAGAGUUUUCGAACUCGGCUGAUCCAAUCCCUCAUCAGCCGAAUCGCUUGAUCCAAUCGAAGGGCGCAAACUUCGAAGGUCACUAUCCACAGCCGUUUUUCAUCCCGACACGCUCCCCGAGGAGGAUCUUUGACUAGGUGAAGGACCAGGGAAUUCUGCACGCAACAGAGAGCAAGGUGGCAAGGGUGCGUUUUCAUGAUUUGAGUUAGGGUUUGGGUUAAUUCUUUAAAAUUGAUGUUUUUGGAAGUUCUAGAUGAUUUUAAACUAAGUUUGGUAGAGUUUUAUCAUGAAUUUUGGGGUUUUCUUGAGGUUCAAGAAACAUAGGGUUGGAUUUAGGUUUUUGUGUCUAAUAGAUUUGGAAUUAAAUUAAUCUCAUAAAUCUCUAACUGAAGGAUAGUUUGACGGAUGGGAAAGCUCUGAUUUGAAUUACGACGAAGUUACGAUGUUCAAUUGGGAGAUUUUGCCAAAAUUCAUUCGUUAGGCUUGGGUCGAUCGAAUCGGCAUCGGAAAUCGAAUUGCUUGGAAAUCCUAGCAAUUGACACAGAAACGAGGUGGGUGGUGCUCUUCGAAAUAGUUGAAUUUCUUCUUAUAUCUAUAUUGACAUUUUGGUCAUAUGUGUAUAUAUGUGAAAAUACUAUGUAUAUAGGGUUAUUAUAGUGUUUGUGCUUUCAAUUUUCUUGCAUGCUUCCUAAAAUAGAGUUAGCCAACUUAGGUCAAGAACUCGGACAUUGGACUCACGAGGAUUGGAUAUUUGGAAAUUAGAACCCUAUGAAUGCAAAGAACUAAAAUGUGAACUCAGAAAACAUUGUGGUGUUGGACAUGAACUUGGUGGCAUCUUUGACUAAUUGCUGGGACAUAGGAAACAAGUGAAAUACUAGGUAUCAUUGUGAGUCUAAAUAUGAACCUAGAGAUGGAAAUAUGGAUUGGGUAUCCUAUUGUGCAAGUAGAGAAUAUGAAUAUCGUGUGUCAUGAUUGUACAAGUGAGUUUGUUGCCGCGCUUCUACAGGAUUUGAGAUGAGCAUGUUAGGGAUUGGUAGAUCCCAGUAUGUUGUUACUGUAGAUCCCAGGGUGUCCUCGAGAUGAGAGGACCAGAUCGUACUCACACAUAGUCUGUUUGGCUUGUUGGUGUUCGCAACACCACAUGCGGUGAGCUUCGGGGUAGUCACACAUGGGUUGAGGGUUAGCUCCCCACAGAUUGCCCUAGAUUGGAUGAGCGACUAUCUCCCUGUUGGCCUUGGUAUGUGAGUGGGUUAAACCUUCGGGCGAGUCGGUAAGAUUGGAUCAUGAGGUAAUAGAGAAAGUCAGUUGAGUAUAGUUGUCACGCCCCGGGACCGGCGGAGGCCCUCCCGGUAGCGUGCCCAGACCCGCCAUAUGUCUACACAUAUAAGGCGUCUACAAGAAGCGGAAGUAAAAGCAAGAAAAGGAACAAAUAAAAGAAGUGAAAUAACAAGCAACUAAUGAUAUCAGAGCGAGUAAAGUUCUAACAUCUACACCAAGGUAAGGAAGUAAAGCUAGACAAUAAAAAGAGUCAUAAGAAGUACAAUAACAGUCUCUAGUACAAAAAUGGUGGUCUCUAGUACACUGGUAAAACACUCAACCUCUCGCAAAAUAAAACAUAAAUCGAGAGGUGGACCACCUAGCAACUCGUCCUCGAAGGAAGCUAGCUCGAAGCAACUCCCUUCCCGCGAUCCCUGGCCUCACCCUGAGUGGAAGGCUCUGAAAAACAUCGAGAAAAAGAGGGCGUGAGAACUAUAAUUUAUAGUUCCCAGUGGGCAAUUACUGACCUCAGCUCAAUGCACCACUAGGCCCCAAAAGAAAAGGGUAAGUACUAAAGCAAUAAUAAGAGUAAUAGCAACAACAAUACGAAAGCAUAAAUGAAGUGCUAAACCGCUAUAUCUCAAGUAAACAUGAUGUCAUGGUGAUGUACAUCUACGCUAUCACAAGAUAAUAUGUCCAAUGCAUAAAGAGUAAGCUCUAACCAAGCAACCGAGUAUACUACAAUGCAACAAUGAAACCGGUAAGUGUGCUAUAUGCACCAAUGCUAUAUCAUGAGCAUGUCAAAGUAAUCCAACUACUAAACCUAUCUAGUAGUGAUUGUUCAUAUUCAACACCGUGUCGAUUUCCAUUUCCAAUUAAGGACCUACCAAAGGUAGUCCAGCUUGUGCCGCCUAAGUGCCUGUGGUAGCCCGACAUCCCUACUCUUGGAAUGUGUCUGUCCCACUCGACCCCGUAGGCUUCUCAAUACCGCACGAGCGAACGUAGUCGCGUAGGCUAACUCCGGAGUGCCGGCUUGUAGGGAGCGACCCUCACAAGCAUGUGCGAAUGAGCACAAAUGGCAAGCAAGCAUAGUCCAAGUCUUAAAUAUCCAAUCCCCAUGUCUCUAACAUGGUAUCAUAACUAGUAUCCCGAAGAUCUAGUCUAAAUCACAAUGUGAAGUUUCAACAUUUGCUACGCCUAGUGCCCCUUGAUGACACUUAGGCAAUUUGAUGUUCAACAUGUUUUCCAAAUCCCUCAAUGGCCCUAUCCACUAGGUUCACACAAGUCCUGAGCUCAAUGCCGCUUGAUGACAUUAGCUCUCCAAUUCACAUGAUAUCAAGUUCGAUGCCUACAUAUGUAGCAAUUGUCAUCUUUCAUGUCUCAAUUAAACCUUUGUUUGAACGCAUGAAUCAUAGAUCAUUUACUCUAUAGAAACAUGAAAUCAAAUCUCAUAUAGAAUGCUAAAUGCAACCAAAGAUCUCCCGAGCAACUCUCUACUACAUAGAGGUCCAAAAUAUCAUCAUAUAUAACAUAUGCAGUUUAAGCAUUCUAAAAAUCAUAAAAAUUACAUUUAACAUGAAAAUGCAUGAAUUAUUAGUAAAUAAAGCACUUAUCACCAACUAUGAGAUUUUCUCAUAUCAAAGGCUAGGUCAAACCCACCAAAAUCGAAACUUUUGUUUCGCCGAACGGAGAUUUCCACAAGCUUUCUAGCACCCUAGUAACAUCAAAAAUGGUGUCAUCCAAUCGAUACGAAGAGCAAUAAGCUCGAUCAUUAACCUAGAAGCAAAAGGGCCUAAACUCACCGCAAGAGUAGAAAUCUUCUCCUAAGCUCCAAAAGAGAGCUAGAACCCUUCCAAUCCAAGCCCUAAGAAGGUUCUAAACCAACCAAUCAAGCCUCAAAAGCCCUAGGUUCAAAAAGCCCAAAAACAAGCCCUAAGUCUCAAAACUAGGGUUUCAUCUCAAAGAAAGCUCUAAAAUUCAAAACUAGAGGAAAGGAUCUUGCCACAUACCUCUUAGAAGCCCCAAAACUAGCUCAAAGUCCUCAAACUUCAAGUAUCAUCCCUCAAUCAAACUCCAAACCCAAGCUCGAAGCUUCAAAAAUGGUGGAAAUGGCUAGCUUCAAAAAUAGUAUACGAAACACUUUUCACCAAAUAUGAGGAUUUCUCAUAUUAUAGGCUAGGUCAAACCCACCGAUGACAACGAAGCUUUUCGCUUGCUUCGAUGGAGGUAUCCCCUAGCUUCCUAGCACCCUAGGAACAUCAAAAAUGGUGUCAUCCAAUCGAAACGAAGAGCGAAAAGCUCAAACAUUAAGCAUCUAGCAAAAUGGGCAAAACUCACCUCAAGAGAAGAAAUCUCUUCCUAUGCUCCAAAAGAGAGCUAGAACCCUUCUAAUCUAACCUAGAGGAAGGUUCUAAUCCAACCAAUUGAGCUUCAAAAGCCCUAAAACGAAAUGCCCAAAAUAAACCUUAAAAUCCCAAAUCUAGGGUUUCAUCUCAAUGAAACCUUCAAAAACCAAAAUUAGAGGAAAGGAUCUUGCCACUUACCUUUUAGAAGCCUCAAAAUCAGCUCAAAGUUCUCAAACUUCAAGUAUCUUCCCUCAAUCAAACUCCAAACCCAAGCUCCAAGCUUCAAAAAUGGUGGAAAUGGCUCCAAGAGACAAAAGAGAGGGAAAACCAUCAAAAUCCAAGCUAAAAUGGGAUCAAAUCCAAAAGGGUUGAAGGGGAGAGGUGCCCUACCUUUUUCCCUGCAGUGGAGAGCUCAAAGAAGGGCCCUAGAGACGUGGGUGCUGAUAUAAGAGACCCACAAACGCAAAAACACCCCUGCAGUUCGAACUGUGCAAAUUCUGCCUCCUUGUACCGGUACACGGGAUCUUGUACCGGUACAAGAGCUACGAAAGUCCAAACCGAGGCUCGGGUGCGCGGUCCAGCGGCACUGUACCGGUACAGGCCCAAUGGCUGUACCGGUACAACCAUCAAUCAUUGUACCGGUACAAGACCACCCUUGUACCGGUACAAGACCUGCGAAAAUGCAAACCCGAGGCUCGGGUUUGCGAGUCCGCGGCUCUGUACCGGUACAGGCCCAACCUUGUACCGGUACAAGCCCGCCAGACAGCCAAUCCGAGAGCUGACCAAAAUCCAAAUUUUUGGGAUUUGGUGCAAGGCUUUGUACCACACUCCUCGGGACACGUGUCAUAGGUCGGAACACAGUCGAUGGCUUACCAGGAAAUCUGGAAAAGCUCAGAGCACAGCUAAUCACUCGAACCUCGCAAUUUGCAAAGGUCCAGUGUGUUACAAUAGUAGAUCUUGUUUUUGAGCAUAGUAGCAUCAUAUGACAGGUGACGAGUCGAUUAUGCUUCCUCCGUAGACGGUCUGUGUUGGGUUGAGCUGUCAUCUCCUGAGUAGACGAUUAAGAGGAAGGAGUUGGUCUUGACUUCAUGUGAGCCAGUAUGAUUAGGUUGAACGGUAAAUAUAGAAAGCAUCUUAAGCAUGAUAACAUUUAUUGUUUCCUUAGCUUUAUUUUGCAAAGACAUAGUAGUGUUUAUUCCAGUUUAUGCAUAGUGUAGUUGUUGUACUACUUUCUCAUUAUUUAUCUACUUAUGCCUGGAUAGACAUAGUUGGAAAAUCGGCGAGGUCGGUGGCCGAACUUACUGGAAACUUUUUUUAGUUCUCAUCCUCUAUUUUGCCAAGCCAAUCAUUAGCGGAGCGGCACUAGACCGAGGCGUGGGCGUUGCGCCCUAGAUAGCAGGGUCACCAAGCGUAGGUCACUAUGUAUAAGUAAUAGAAUGCAAAUGUAUUUUGGAAAUGAAAAUGUAAUUAAGAGUAAGUAUAGUUGAGGAAGAAUUCAUGUAUUAAAUUUGACAAUUGUAUGUAAAAUGUGUAUGUUCAAGUGUUGUAAUAGCUUGGUUUAAAUUUCUUGCUCUUGUAAUAUGUCCUCAUGCAAUUCAUGUAUGUUGAUUAUUUUUUCUGGAUAAAACUCUACAUGAUGUUGUUGAGCCUUGGACAAAUAGGGGAGGCUCUGUCUGUUUGGCGAUUUGUGCACGCACUCGAACCGAUCAAAGUGGCGGUCGCGUGGCGUGACAGAUAAAGUGGUAUCAAAGCGUAAAAACAGUCUAGGAGGACCUAUAGGAAAACUUAGGCUUGAAAAACCGUAAGGAUCUAGGCUCGUGAGUGGACGAAACUUAUGGCGAAAGUGAAAGGAUUAGGUCAAUUUGUGUCUCUAAUAGUAUUUUGGAGGCGGAUUAAAGGUGUUGCAACUACUCUAUUUAGAUGAUCAUGUUGGCUGCAGACAACAUGAUGUCGAAAGUGGAGUAGUGGUGCGCCUCUAUGACUUUCGUUUGAUUGGAUCGGCUAUUGUGUGCGACAGAAUUAAGUUCGAUCGUUGGGUCGCCUAGGUACGCAUGUUAUCCCUCGAGUGACGAUAGUAAGUUACUGGCGGGACGGAUCUUGCAGAGGGCUAUUUAGCCCUAUGAUGUUGCGAGCUAAGUGUCGCUAAGGGCGUGAGGCCUUUCGUUGUGGCCAAGAUGUGUGGUCUUGAGCAGCCGAUGUGUGUCUUGACUUGUUGUCAGGACUAGUAGCUGUGGAGAUUUGAUAAUUCUCGUCUUAGUGGACCUGGACUUGUUUGCCCCAGCUAAGAUGGGUGAUGGAUGUAAUGCAUGACCCUGAGUGAUGGAUGUGAUGCACGAUUCUUGAUGAUCGGUGUGAAGGCACGACCCAUAGGGAAACGGUGUAGGUACGAUAGAACUAUGAUCGCAUGAUGAGAGUGAAGUAGUCAAGUGGCGAUUGUUGAAAAUGGAGACGAGUUGAUAAGGUCGGUAAGUGGAACAUUUGAGGAAUGAUGGCCUCGUUCUUCAAUGGUGGGGGAACAUGAUGUGACUCGUAGGAGCAUGUCAGUUCAAGCUGAGGAUCAAGCAUAGCGUGUUUUUACACCCUAUGUUGAUUGUGUUGGCGAUUAAUCCUCUAUAGGAUUGUAAGUUUAGUGGGCUUACGAGUAAUUAGUCUAGUUGUUGUGCCAAUGAGAUGUAUUUAUGGCACACCUAGUGCAACAUACCGAACUUUUAAAGUUAUGAAGUUACGGUGUAUAUUAGUUUGGAUAGCUAUCGGAGCAGUUCCGGUAAAGUUCGGGAGAUUUCGGGUGUUUUCGAUGCGCGUCGGGCGCGUAAACGAAACCCGAAAAGCUAUGAUUGGACCUUAGCCUAAGUCCGGUAAGGCGUGGAUGAAAAGAGGGUUUAAAUGCGCUCGAAAACAUGUUUUGGUUGUCUCGGUACGAUUUGAGAUAAAUCGGAGGCUCACGGAGCAAAAACAAGCGAAAACGGAGAAAAUGCUAAAAAAGGUUGAAAAUUUGGCUAAGUGCUGAAAUGUUGAAAUUUUGGACCUACGGGGUACGGACCUUCUAGCCAAGGUCCGGACCCUGAGCCCGAAAACAGCCCAGAAACAGCAGGGGCUGAAUUGUAAUUGUGUGUUGACUUAUGGGGAAAGAGGCCUACACUCUUCUUCUUCUUCCUCCUCUCUCCUACGCCAUUUUACACACAACACACACAUAUAGUAGAGAGAGAGACUCUCUCUUCUCUCUCUAGAUAUCUCCUCCAUCUCUCUAGAUCCAUCUCUUAAAUUCGAAUGCAUGGAGGAGAAGGGCCUUGCGAACGCGUGGGAGGCGACGGUUCGGGCCCUCGUGCACCCGUUUGAGCGGGGUGCGCCCGUUUGAGCAGGGUGAUUCCGUCUCGGCAUUCGCAUUUUGGUAAGUGUUUAGGAUUUGGUUAAAUCCUUCAUGCAAUGGCAUUCUAAUGAUCCCUAGGCUAUUAAAUCCAUGUUCCUCCAUUUAAUUUUGGAUUAUUUGGAGUAUAAGAGUAAGCUAGGGCUUAAAAUGGGGGUUUUGGGUUUAUUGGGGUUUUGAUCUAUUUUAACCCCUUAUUUCUCUAAUUAGAGGUUAGAGAAGGACCCUUGGUGACUCCAAGUUGAGGAUCAGCGAGAGUUUGGUGAUCGUUUGCGCGUAUGAGCCGAACUGGAUUACGUGUGCCGUGGGAGGCCAAUUGCAAGUGACGACAAGCAAUCGGAGAGCGUUACGAGGUGGGUUGUGCUCACAAAAGAUAUUAGCUCACUUCCAUGUCGAAGUGAAGUGUAGUUUCUCGUUGAUGCAUAUAAUGAGUUAAAUGCAUAAGUUGAAUGCAUGAGUUAAGUGCUAGAUGAAUGCAUGAAUUAAGUGCUAGAUGAAUGUAUGAGUUAAAUGCUAGAUGAAUGCAUGAGUUAAAUGCUAGAUGAAUGCAUGAUUCAUAUUAUACUAGAUGAUGUUGCCUACCAUUGGAAUCUACUAGAUGAGAUGCUAGAUGAAAAUAUAUGCAUGUUGAUACAUCAUGAGAUGCUAGUUAAUAUAUAUGCAUGUUGGUGUAAUAUACCGACCUUCUAAUUCAUGAAGUUACGAUGAAUGUUAGCUUAGAAAGCCGUAGGAAUCAUUCCGGCGAAGUUCGGGAGCAUUCGGAUGCUUCGGUGUGCAUAGGGCGCGAAAAUGGGACCCGAAAGGCUAUGUUGGACCGUGGACUAAAUCCGGCAUUAGCGUGGAUGAAAAGAUGAUGAAAACAUGCUUGAAAACGUGUUUGGAGAGUCUCGAUUCGAUUUGAAAUGAAUCGGAUGUCAAACGAGCGAUGUAACAUACCGAACUUAUAAAAUUAUGAAGUUACGGUGUACGUUUAAAUGGUUCCGGUGAGGUUGCGGUGGAAUGUAACAUACCGGAUUUUAAAUAUAAAAAUAAAAAUAAAUAAAAAUAGUAUGAGAUACUAUUUUAUUGGAUUUAGAGAAGUGAAAUAUCGGUUGGGAACGACCUGUGCUGAAAUCGGAGCGAAAACAGAAGAUUUAGAAUUUUCUGUUGGAAACGGGACUGAUAAAUUAGCAGAAAAUGCACAGUCUCAGAAAAUUAUGAAAAUUGGCGAGGAUGUCAGAAAUAUUUUAAUGAGGCUAGAUUUAAAGUUUCAUAUUUUUCUGACACCCGUAGAGUGAGAAAUAAAAUCCGAAAGCCAUCUGAUAAAGAUUGCAGUUCGGUAUAGUUUUCAGUGACCAAACGGGGUCGAAACUGAAAUAUUAAAAUUUCUUUGGACUUAUUAAGUAAAACCGAACAUGCCUGUCAAAUUUGAGCUCAAUCGGACAUUCAGAAGGGCUCCAACGAAAUUUAUCAGAUUUCAAGCUGCCCGUAAUGAAUAGUGUAUAGUUGAGGGCAAAAUGGUAAAAAGGGAUUAAAUCCCCUUUGCUUCUUCUUCCUCCCAGCCGAACACAUCACACGCACACAACACACACGCAUGGAAGGAGAAGAGAAAACCCUCUCUUUCUCUCUCUAAAUCUCUCCCAAAAGAGGUGAAAUUGGUGGAGAAGAAGCUUGGAGGGAUCAUCAACACCAUCAUCUUCUUCUUCUUCAUUUUGGAGCAAGCUCUUGGAGGUAAGCACCUUACCCAUUAAUGGUAGAUCCUUAAUGGUUGGGUUAAAUAGCUUAUAAAUGGAUUUAGAGGAAUCCUAGCAUGCUAUCUAGAUGAAUGAUGCUUAAAUCAUGAAUCAAUUUGGUGAUUUCUUGCAUAGUUGUAACCUAGGGCUCCAAAAUGCUAAUUUUCAAAAUAUGAGGGUUUGAUCUAAUUUGACUCUCCGUAAACCUAAUUGCUAGGUAACGAAACGCGUUGGCGAAGACGGUUCGGCAAUCCGACGAGUCGUUACAAAGUUAUUAAAGAAAUAGACGUUUAGGGUUCGGGUCCGCCGGGAGGGCCGAGGCGACGUCGUAAAAUCAUGGAAAUGGAUUUGAGGUAUCAUGGCACAUAACCGAAGACCUAUAAUUUUCGGGGCUGCGAAGCGGAGCACGGUUGAGGCGCAGUUGCAGUAUCGGGCCGUGCCGGAUACGGGUGCCGCGGGAGGCCGAUUGUAAGUGUCGACAAGCAAUCGGAACGCGAAUUAAGGUGGGUUGUGUUUACCGAAGCGACUAGGUCGCCUUUAUGUCUAAGAAACUAAGAAUCCAUGUUGAUGCAUAUAAAUGUAAAUAAAGCAUGUAAAUGAUGCAUAUAGCUAAAUAAUGCAUGUUGAUAGUAUGAUGUAAAUGCUAAAUAGAAUGCAUUAUGAGCAAGUUACAUAAUGCUAAAUAAUGUAAUGUAGAAAUGCUAGAAUGCAUUAUGAGCAAGUUACAUAAUGCUAAAUAAUGUAAUGUAGAAAUGCUAGAAUGCAUAAUGAGCAAGUUAUAUGAUGCAUGUUUAUAGUAUGAUGUAAAUGCUAAGUAGAUGCAUAUAAAUGAUAUAUGAGAUUAUAAACGCAUGAUUAGCAUUAUGAGAUCAUAGAUGCAUGCUUAGCAUUGUGAGAUUAUAUAUGCAUAUGAACUUGGUUGAUAACUCUAGCUUGAAUAGAGAGAUAACAUUGGAAAAUGAGAAUUGA